rnacentral:rRNA from 1 species
GUGAAAGCCCCCGGCUCAACCGGGGAGGGUCAUUGGAAACUGGGGAACUUGAGUGCAGAAGAGGAGAGUGGAAUUCCACGUGUAGCGGUGAAAUGCGAUAGAGAUGUGGAGGAACACCAGUGGCGAAGGCGACUCUCUGGUCUGUAACUGACGCUGAGGAGCGAAAGCGUGGGGAGCGAACAGGAUUAGAUACCCUGGUAGUCCACGCCGUAAACGAUGAGUGCUAAGUGUUAGGGGGUUUCCGCCCCUUAGUGCUGCAGCUAACGCAUUAAGCACUCCGCCUGGGGAGUACGGUCGCAAGACUGAAACUCAAAGGAAUUGACGGGGGCCCGCACAAGCGGUGGAGCAUGUGGUUUAAUUCGAAGCAACGCGAAGAACCUUACCAGGUCUUGACAUCCUCUGACAAUCCUAGAGAUAGGACGUCCCCUUCGGGGGCAGAGUGACAGGUGGUGCAUGGUUGUCGUCAGCUCGUGUCGUGAGAUGUUGGGUUAAGUCCCGCAACGAGCGCAACCCUUGAUCUUAGUUGCCAGCAUUCAGUUGGGCACUCUAAGGUGACUGCCGGUGACAAACCGGAGGAAGGUGGGGAUGACGUCAAAUCAUCAUGCCCCUUAUGACCUGGGCUACACACGUGCUACAAUGGACAGAACAAAGGGCAGCGAAACCGCGAGGUUAAGCCAAUCCCACAAAUCUGUUCUCAGUUCGGAUCGCAGUCUGCAACUCGACUGCGUGAAGCUGGAAUCGCUAGUA